rnacentral:misc_RNA from 1 species
AUUAAAUUUAAUGUUCUUAUGUGGUUUAGUAUGCUAAAAUUUUGGUUUAUUUGACCAAUUUUUUCAAUAUUUUAAUUUGGUUCAAUUUGAUCUAUUAAAUUUAUUUUAUUUAAUUUUUCAGAUUUUCAGAUGAAUUGAAUUGAAUCAACAGACACUCACCCCAUUGAAAAUACCAUACUUCUUAUUGUUGGGUUGUCUCGAGGCAAGCAGCGAAUGCUAUGGCUGCCAUGUUUGCUGAAAAAUCUAGAUGUUCAAAUUCAUCUUCUAUUAUAUAAGCUUUGUGAAUGCGUUGUUGCUAAUUGUCAGAAAAUUAAAACACAGGGAGAAAUAGAUUUACAGAGUAUGAACCUCAAAAACAGAGAGAAGAAAUAACACAUAAAUUAUCUUGAAUAACAAAACGCAAGAGAAGCUAAAAUGAAGAGAAAACACAAAUUUCAGAAAUAAAACAGAGGAAUACAAGUACAAAGAUUUAGUAAAAAUAUAAAUAAUUCUAACAAACUCCAACACUAAACCAAAAUAUAAGAAAAUUUUCUAAAGUACAACAAACUUAUUUAUUACUAUUUAUUUCUUGCACAUCUCACAGAAAUGUGAUCAUAUCUCACAUGAAACGUUAUGAAGCCAGUGAGGACAUUUUCUAUAGCUAAAAUAUUAUUUCCUCACUUUGUUUGUAGAAAAUGCUAGGCCCAAAUGUUGAAGAAACUAUUUCAACCAAGAGAGGAAACUGCAGUAGUGCAAAUAAAGUAACAGGUGCACAAGCUGUUAGGCCAAUUGGAAUUGUGAUCCAUUUCACUCUAUGAAACAAAACUAAGUGAAAGGCUGCAGUGAAUGCUGUGAGCAUGGAGGCUAUUGAAAAGAACAAUGUGAUGAGACCGAUGCUCAACCUCAUUGGUAAGGCUUUGAGAAA